UGGUACAAUUCUGGGGACCAAGGAAUGGGCUAUAUGUACGCAUUACUUCCGCGUUUUGUCUAAGGCCGCGGUCCAGCUUCCGGUCUGGGUGAUUUUAAGCGGAGGUAAACAGUAUUAUGGCAGAGUCGUCAAAUGUGCAAAUGAUUGUCCGGAUGUGCUCUACAACACCGCAGAGCAAAGCUUGAGAAGGGUUUCAAGUUGUAUGCAUCUUCCUACCUGUGCAAUUAUGAAGGUAACAUUAUGAGAUUCAGAGCUAGAAAAUUUUAUGUGUAUCCUGGAGCGGACAUCCGUCAGAAGAUCCAUGCCAUCGUCUGCUAGUUAAUAGCUCCUGCUCUUGUGUGGCUGAGAGUGGGAUAUGCAAACAUUUGGUUGCUUUGCUUUUCCAGACAGCCCAUUACUCUGAAAUGUGUAAUGUGAGUUGUCACAUGAACAAUUGUUUGGAAUGGAUCAAUUAUGUGUUAAGUUCCAUGAAACAGAUGGGUGAUUUAUUUAUUUAUUUAAUACGUAUAAACCCAAAUACCUCUCUAUGCACAAGUUACAGAAGAAGCACCUGAUUCAAGAAAACAACUGAUUCAAUGUCAUUUUUUCUGUUCAUCUGAAUAAAAUAUUUUUUUCAAAAUGUUA